UACGUAGGGCGCAAGCGUUGUCCGGAAUUAUUGGGCGUAAAGCGCACGUAGGCGGCUUUGUAAGUCGGAUGUGAAAUCCCUCGGCUUAACCAAGGAAGUGCAUCCGAAACUACAAAGCUUGAGUACUUAAGAGGAUCGCGGAAUUCCCGGUGUAGAGGUGAAAUUCGUAGAUAUCGGGAGGAACACCUGUGGCGAAAGCGGCGCACUGGACCAUAACUGACGCUGAUGCACGAAAGCUAGGGGAGCAAACAGG
rnacentral:rRNA from 1 species